UCAUAACUCAGCGGUAGAGCACUCCUAUGGUAAGGCGUAAGCCCUCGGUUCAAAUCAAAUCCGACAAGGGACU
rnacentral:tRNA from 4 species